rnacentral:pre_miRNA from 1 species
CCUUAUCUGGAUCGGGUUUCGCUGGCUAACGUGUUGUUAAAAGCGAGUAAGCGAGUAAAUCUUCAAUUCGUUGUCGACGAAACCUGCACGGAAUAAGG